rnacentral:misc_RNA from 1 species
UGUUAUUCGGCUUAUCGAAUAUUAAAUCAGAUCAAUUCAAAAAUAAAAGUAACAAUGCUGUUUUAAAACCUGUAGUUUUAUAUAAAAUUAAUUUUAUAUUUUUGACUGAAAGAAAAUUACAGCCUGUAUGAUUUGAUUACUUGAGGGAAAAUAAUUUGAUGGUGUUCUACAUAGACAGGUGUGAACUUAAACAGGGGAUUUUUAUUGUUUUCACUGUUAGGAAAACAGGUGAUCAACAUACAGAGGUGGUCGACUUAAAAAGGUUACACUGUAUUAGGAAUUAUGGAUAGAAUUUGCUGCAUUGUUGAUUUUGAAGGCUUUUGGGUGAACUCUACGUUUUUGGCGAGAGAGAUAGGGUGGAUCAACAUCAGCACUGGCAUGUCAGGGACUGUUCGAUUUGAUUUGCGGGGUUACCAACGAUCCUUACCAGAUCUAAUGAACUGUGACUAUAUUACUGAAAAUAUCAGUGGCUUGACAUUUGAGCCGAUGUUAGGAGAGCCGACCAUAUCGCCUCAUCUUCUGGAUGGCAAGAUACGUGAAAUCUAUAGUAAUUGCAGAACUCCCUACAAGCAUGUAAUUGCUUACAAAGGAGGACAUGUUGAAAAGGACGUUUUGGAACGUCUUGGCAUACCAUGUAUCAAUCUUGAACUUUUUAACUGUCCCAAGUUUGAGCAGAUUAGUAGAGGAAAUUAUCAAACUUGUGGUUUUCACAAGUAUAAUGGCCACUGUCCACUUGCUGAAGUCCAUGCCUUCAGAGCCUGGAUGUUAGCUCGUCUUUGAAGUAUUAAUACAUAAAUCGUAGUAACAAACUACUUUUUUGUUACCUGUCAUGAUUAUAGUUAUAACCUAAUUGUAAUUUUAAUUAACUGUUGUUGUCUUAAAUAAAUAAAACUAAUAUUUUACUGUA